AGUCGGCCGGUCUGUCGCUUGCACUUCGGGUGCAGGAGGAAAGUCCGGGCAACACAGAGCAUCCCACUUCCUAACAGAAAGCUGUCCGCGAGGGUGGAGUAACGCAGAAGAAAAGAACCGCCUCCGGGCUUCGGUCCGGCGGUAAGGGUGAGAAGGCGGGGUAAGAGCCCACCAGUCUUGUGGCGACACAAGGGCUGUGCGUCUUGGGAGUUGUAAGGUCAUGUAAACCGGCGUUCAUGAGGGUUGCUCGCCCCAUGUCGGAGGGUAGACCGCUAAAGCCGUCUGGUGACAGGCGGACGAGAUAAAUGACAGACGUCCCGUGCUUCACGGGAAACAGAACCCGGCUUACAGGUCGGCUGCU
rnacentral:RNase_P_RNA from 1 species